UUAUAAUGUACUCCUUAACACUCACACAUUAACUGCUCAAUCAAUAUAUUUAAUAGAAAUUUCGUAAUAUGAAAGAUUAAAAAAUUUAAAAUUUUAGAAUGUAUGAGCACUUUUGUUGUGAGUAUUUUUGAACUUCUGGAUUAUUAGUAGUUGAAUCAGUUGGUGGUGUUGAAAUUAUGGAAUAUUCGAGCUUAAUUAGUCUCAAUAGAAAGGGCCAUAUAUAUUUAAUUCAACUAUAGUUACUUGGUG
rnacentral:misc_RNA from 1 species